CAUGGAGCUAGUAAAUAAAAAAGAAAGAAAAAUCAAUUAAAUACAAAUCAAAAGAUUCUAAACACCAACUAGAAUGAGAUCCCGCAAUUUGAACGUGCAACAAAGUGAUGAUGAAGCUUCCGCAUAAACCAUGACUCAAAACAUAAUCGCAACUUUCAAAGUGAUGCGAAAAGAAUAAUAGGCUACGUUGCGUGCAAUUUUGCAAGGGGCCGAAGUCCCGUUCAGACCUGCGAGGGGGCCGGAAAAGCCAAAUGAGCUUUAUUUUUUCAAGGUGGAAGAGGUUCAGCUUCAAGCGAUUAUUGUUAAAGAAAACAGAGCCUUAUUUUAAUGAUUGUUUACGAUGUCUGACGUCUGUUCGCAAAAAUUGGCGAACGCCAAAGGCAAGGGCAAGUACACUUUCGAUGCCGCAACCAAACAAGACACAAAGAGCUAGUUCUGCUGGUCAUGUAACGGUAAAAUGCCUCCGCAUUCAGAUGAUGAGCAGGCAUCUAUAAAGACUGUGUUCCCAGGACUUUCGUUAGUUGAAACGCAGAGUUCUUUUCGAUAGCACAAGACGAAAGAGACUCAACAUGAAAGUUUUGGUAGUUUUGGCCUUUGUUCUGACAUUGGUCUGUGUCGCCUGUACUCAGUUACCGGAUGGAUGGAACUACAAUCUGUUUUUCAUUUCUUUCUUUUCUCUUGUUCGUUCCCUUCCAUUGGGGCUCGAGGAACACACACGGAAACUUGCAACGUAUCCAGACAAACUUAAAGUUAAAUGCAAAAGAAAGGAAACGGAAAAUCUCCAGCUUCUCACCUCAUCAGAAUCGACCGGUGUGCUAGUUGAUGACGUGAUUGUCCCAUGAACGUGACAAAUGAGAAAUUUUCAUUGGUACAGCUUAGUGACUGUAGAUUCAUCAGUGCAUCUUUUGACUGUGAUUUCAACCCGAACUGCAUGGGGUUCCGUUUAGUACGCCAGAUCCAUUCUGAAAACCGAGUAACGGAAAAACAAACAAAAAUUAGUCUCAAGUUUCGUUUGGAUAGAAAUAUUGGCGACUAAAGUGGCUUGGGAAUACUCUGACCAUAAUUGACGGAACAAUUUCAGGGGGGGGGAAGAAAAAGAUAUCCUAACCCAUCUAAGUCUGAAAAAUGAUAAUUAUUUUGUUCCUAAAUCUUUUCAGAAAUUCUUAACUGCAUCGGGUCAUCUGAACUGUUUUCCCCGGACGUCAUAAAGAAUCUCAUUUUCAAACAAUUAAAUAAUACAAACAAUAUCAAUACUACGUUACAAUUUUUCAGAUUACACUUCUUCCUGUUCAUCUAACCUUUUGUGGAUUCGUUACUUCUAGUUAGUUCUCACCAACUUAUCCUGAUUAACAGUUUUCCUUCAGUUUUGUUGCCCUAAACAUCAGUCACCAGCUAAUUGGUUGUAAAAAGUGUUUGAGUUCUAUGAAAGCAAUGGAAGUAAAAACUCAAUUGUGUCCUGACAGUUGAAUUAAUUAAAAAUAAAUUACCUUUUGGCUCUAA